CAUUAAUUGAAGGUGCGGUUUGUUUAAUGACAACAAAAAAAUAUUUCAAAGACGCCAUGUUUACAUAAUAAUGUCAUCCCACCGAGGUGGGAUAUUUGGUGAGAUAAAUAAGUCAUGUGAACACAGAAAUAAGUCAUCCCACUCGGGUUAACUUCCCGGCAAACCAGGCAAAUAUGAACACGCCCUUUGAAAGGCAAUAGAUCUUUAUCAUGCACGCUUUCUGCAUGAGUCCAUUUAAAAUUUGAUUAAUAGUAAGUACAGAAAAUUUAGAGGCUUUAUUUUGUAAAUUGUGGCGCAGCGCUAUUUUUAAAGGGUAAAUAUCAACCUAAAAUGAUCGUGUUUUGUGCUUGGAUUCAUAAAACAAUAUAGAGUGAUCAGUGUUUAUGACUCGUUCUUUAGAAAGGUAAUUUCUAUAGUUCAUUGUCUUUUAUUGUUAUUGUUAUUGUUAUUAACAACCAAUCACAAAGCCCGUUCAUACAAGUUGGUGCAGGCGACCAUUUUUAAAACCAUAUGAACUUCAAAAUUUUAUUAGAAAAUAUACGGGGAUUUGCAUGGGAUCGAGGUUUGAUCGAGCGCACGCGUGCUCGUUUAAUGCAAAAUUCCGAAAAAUCCGCUAUUAAAGACGAACUUUUAGAAAGGACGCUAAAUUAUUCCCGCCCGCAUCGAAAGGCCUGCGGAGGAGGUAGCUACACUAACACAAUUCUUAAAAUAUAGCCUUUUAUUUGUGUGUACUCACAUGGUCAAGCGUGAUAAAGAUUUAGUCGUCUGCCACACAGACGAAUUGUUGUUUUCCUUUGCCGAAAUUCUUGAUUUCUUCUAUAAAUCGGGUCAUUAGUAGCCAUUUUACGUGAGCAACACAGAUAAUUGAGCAAAGCACAAUCACGUUGUGUGAGGUAUUGUGUAAAAUUUAUAUUAGAACUUUAUAAGAUAUUCCUUUAAAGUUAAAAUGUGCACUAGUUCACAUUUGGCAGCUUAAUAAGUGACACAAAUUGAGUUUGUCAGUUUCCUAAAACAGAAUUUAAGUAUGAUAGUACAAUAUAUAAAAUUGUGUAUAAAAGACAUUUACAAUAUUAAAAUUCUUUCAUAACCC
rnacentral:lncRNA from 1 species